GCGGAGGAAAAGCAACCCAGCAGGGACUGCCUCAGUAACGGCGAGUGAAGCGGCAAGAGCUCAUAUUUGAAAGCUGGCCCCCUCGGGGUCCGCAUUGUAAUUUGCAGAGGAUGCUUCGGGAGUGGCCCCCAUCUAAGUGCUCUGGAACGGGCCGUCAUAGAGGGUGAGAAUCCCGUAUGGGAUGGGGUGUCCGCGACCAUGUGAAGCUCCUUCGACGAGUCGAGUUGUUUGGGAAUGCAGCUCUAAAUGGGUGGUAAAUUUCAUCUAAAGCUAAAUAUUGGCCGGAGACCGAUAGCGCACAAGUAGAGUGAUCGAAAGAUGAAAAGCACUUUGAAAAGAGAGUUAAAAAGCACGUGAAAUUGUUGAAAGGGAAGCGCUUGCGACCAGACUCGCCUACGGGGUUCAGCCGGUAUUCGUACCGGUGUACUUCCCCGUGGGCGGGCCAGCGUCGGUUUGGGCGGCCGGUCAAAGGCCCUCGGAAUGUAACGCCUCUCGGGGCGUCUUAUAGCCGAGGGUGCCAUGCGGCCAGCCCGGACCGAGGAACGCGCUUCGGCACGGACGCUGGCAUAAUGGUCGUAAGCGACCCGUCUUGAAACACGGACCAAGGAGUCUAACAUCUACGCGAGUGUUCGGGUGUCAAACCCGUGCGCGCAGUGAAAGCGAACGGAGGUGGGAACCCUCACGGGUGCACCAUCGACCGAUCCUGAUGUCUUCGGAUGGAUUUGAGUAAGAGCGUAGCUGUUGGGACCCGAAAGAUGGUGAACUAUGCCUGAAUAGGGCGAAGCCAGAGGAAACUCUGGUGGAGGCUCGCAGCGGUUCUGACGUGCAAAUCGAUCGUCAAAUUUGGGUAUAGGGGCGAAAGACUAAUCGA
rnacentral:misc_RNA from 1 species